rnacentral:rRNA from 1 species
ACAUGCAGAGAACUUCCAGAGAUGGAUUGGUGCCUUCGGGAACUCUGACACAGGUGCUGCAUGGCUGUCGUCAGCUCGUGUCGUGAGAUGUUGGGUUAAGUCCCGUAACGAGCGCAACCCUUGUCCUUAGUUACCAGCACGUUAUGGUGGGCACUCUAAGGAGACUGCCGGUGACAAACCGGAGGAAGGUGGGGGAUGACGUCAAGUCAUCAUGGCCCUUACGGCCUGGGCUACACACGUGCUACAAUGGUCGGUACAAAGGGUUGCCAAGCCGCGAGGUGGAGCUAAUCCCAUAAAACCGAUCGUAGUCCGGAUCGCAGUCUGCAACUCGACUGCGUGAAGUCGGAAUCGCUAGUAAUCGUGAAUCAGAAUGUCACGGUGAAUACGUUCCCGGGCCUU